rnacentral:rRNA from 1 species
AUUGAACGCUGGCGGCAGGCCUAACACAUGCAAGUCGAGCGGAGCGGCGGACGGGUGAGUAAGGCCUAGGAAUCGGCCUGGUAGUGGGCGAUAACGUCCGGAAACGGGCGCUAAUACAGCAUGCUAUAAGAUGAGCCUAUGUAGGAUUAGAUAGUGGGUUGGGUAAAGGCCAACCAAGGCGAAGAUCCGUAACUGGUCUGAGAGGAUGAUCAGUCACACUGGGACUGAGACACGGUCCAGACUCCUACGGUAGGCAGCAGUGGGGAAUAUUGGACAAGGGGCGAAAGCCUGAUCCAGCCAUGCCGCGUGUAUGAAGAAGGUCUUCGGAUUGUAAAGCACUUUAAGUUGGGAGGCGUUACCAACAGAAUAAGCACCGGCUAACUUCGUGCCAGCAGCCGCGGUAAUUC